rnacentral:rRNA from 1 species
GCAAGUCGAGGGGUAACGUGAGUGCUUGCACUUGACGACGACCGGCGCACGGGUGCGGAACGCGUAUGGAACCUACCUUUAUCAGGGAGAUAGCCCAUGGAAACGUGGAUUAAUAUCCCAUAGUAUUAUUUUAUCGCCUGAUAGAAUAAUUAAAGAAUUUCGGAUAGAGAUGGUCAUGCGUAUCAUUAGCUAGUAGGCGAGGUAACGGCUCACCUAGGCAACGAUGAUUAGGGGUCCUGAGAGGAUGAUC